rnacentral:rRNA from 1 species
CUUAACACAUGCAAGUCGAACGGAAAGGCCCUGCUUUUGUGGGGUGCUCGAGUGGCGAACGGGUGAGUAACACGUGAGUAACCUGCCCUUGACUUUGGGAUAACUUCAGGAAACUGGGGCUAAUACCGGAUAGGAGCUCCUGCUGCAUGGUGGGGGUUGGAAAGUUUCGGCGGUUGGGGAUGGACUCGCGGCUUAUCAGCUUGUUGGUGAGGUAGUGGCUUACCAAGGCUUUGACGGGUAGCCGGCCUGAGAGGGUGACCGGCCACAUUGGGACUGAGAUACGGCCCAGACUCCUACGGGAGGCAGCAGUGGGGAAUAUUGCACAAUGGGCGGAAGCCUGAUGCAGCAACGCCGCGUGCGGGAUGACGGCCUUCGGGUUGUAAACCGCUUUCGCCUGUGACGAAGCGUGAGUGACGGUAAUGGGUAAAGAAGCACCGGCUAACUACGUGCCAGCAGCCGCGGUGAUACGUAGGGUGCGAGCGUUGUCCGGAUUUAUUGGGCGUAAAGGGCUCGUAGGUGGUUGAUCGCGUCGGAAGUGUAAUCUUGGGGCUUAACCCUGAGCGUGCUUUCGAUACGGGUUGACUUGAGGAAGGUAGGGGAGAAUGGAAUUCCUGGUGGAGCGGUGGAAUGCGCAGAUAUCAGGAGGAACACCAGUGGCGAAGGCGGUUCUCUGGGCCUUUCCUGACGCUGAGGAGCGAAAGCGUGGGGAGCGAACAGGCUUAGAUACCCUGGUAGUCCACGCUGUAAACGGUGGGUACUAGGUGUGGGGUCCAUUCCACGGGUUCCGUGCCGUAGCUAACGCUUUAAGUACCCCGCCUGGGGAGUACGGCCGCAAGGCUAAAACUCAAAGGAAUUGACGGGGCCCCGCACAAGCGGCGGAGCAUGCGGAUUAAUUCGAUGCAACGCGUAGAACCUUACCUGGGUUUGACAUGGAUCGGGAGUGCUCAGAGAUGGGUGUGCCUCUUUUGGGGUCGGUUCACAGGUGGUGCAUGGCUGUCGUCAGCUCGUGUCGUGAGAUGUUGGGUUAAGUCCCGCAACGAGCGCAACCCUUGUUCACUGUUGCCAGCACGUUAUGGUGGGGACUCAGUGGAGACCGCCGGGGUCAACUCGGAGGAAGGUGGGGAUGACGUCAAGUCAUCAUGCCCCUUAUGUCCAGGGCUUCACGCAUGCUACAAUGGCUGGUACAGAGAGUGGCGAGCCUGUGAGGGUGAGCGAAUCUCGGAAAGCCGGUCUCAGUUCGGAUUGGGGUCUGCAACUCGACCUCAUGAAGUCGGAGUCGCUAGUAAUCGCAGAUCAGCAACGCUGCGGUGAAUACGUUCCCGGGGCUUGUACACACCGCCCGUCAAGUCAUGAAAGUUGGUAACACCCGAAGCCGGUGGCCUAACCGUUGUGGGGGAGCCGUCGAAGGUGGGACUGGUGAUUAGGACUAAGUCAUAAC